UACGGAAGGCAGCAGUGGGGAAUAUUGGACAAUGGGCGAAAGCCUGAUCCAGCCAUGCCGCGUGUGUGAAGAAGGCCUUUUGGUUGUAAAGCACUUUAAGCGAGGAGGAGGCUACUUGGAUUAAUACUCUAGGAUAGUGGACGUUACUCGCAGAAUAAGCACCGGCUAACUCUGUGCCAGCAGCCGCGGUAAUACAGAGGGUGCGAGCGUUAAUCGGAUUUACUGGGCGUAAAGCGUGCGUAGGCGGCUUUUUUAAGUCGGAUGUGAAAUCCCUGAGCUUAACUUAGGAAUUGCAUUCGAUACUGGGAAGCUAGAGUAUGGGAGAGGAUGGUAGAAUUCCAGGUGUAGCGGUGAAAUGCGUAGAGAUCUGGAGGAAUACCGAUGGCGAAGGCAGCCAUCUGGCCUAAUACUGACGCUGAGGUACGAAAGCAUGGGGAGCAAACAAGGAUUAAGAAUAACC
rnacentral:rRNA from 1 species